AAUAUCUCCCACAAAAUGAUGACCAUAAAUAAGAAACAUCAGAAUACUUGCUUUGGCAGAUGACACCAAGAUAACUCGAAGAUUUAAUCUAGCAGACCACACUAACCUGGCUUAAGAACUUUUCAAAUAUAAAUGAUCUAAAUGCUACUUUACUUGGCAAAACAAAGGCAGACAAUAAAAUGAAAAAUGGAAUGUGAUUAUCAGAAUGGAUAG
rnacentral:lncRNA from 1 species